AACGAAUCCUAUCAGUGUAUCGGUAGGGUUAGUGGCAGACGGGUGAGUAAUACGUGGGCAAUCUGCCCUCGAGAAGGGGAUAACCCCGGGAAACCGGGGCUAAUACCGCAUGAGACCACAGUCCGGCAUCGGACAGAGGUUAAAGCUCCGCAAGGGGCGCUCGAGGUGGAGCCCACGGCCUAUCAGCUAGUUGGCGGGGUAACGGCCCACCAAGGCUACGACGGGUAAGCGGUCUGAAAGGACGACCGCUCACAAUGGCACUGAGACACGGGCCAGACUCCUACGGGAGGCAGCAGUGGGGAAUAUUGGACAAUGGGCGAAAGCCUGAUCCAGCAACGCCGCGUGAGUGAUGAAGGCCUUAGGGUUGUAAAGCUCUUUUAGUGGGGAAGAUAAUGACGGUACCCACAGAAAAAGCCCCGGCUAACUUCGUGCCAGCCGCCGCGGUAA
rnacentral:rRNA from 1 species